GUGUAUUUUCUUGUUUCUUUGCUAUACCUUUUUGACAUAUCUGAAAUAUGAUUAUAAUUCAUAAAAUGUUGUUUUCAUGCAGAUUGAGGUGCAAGGUUUUCAUGCAUUAGACAAAAUUUGUUAUAGCAAUUAUUGUACAAUCAGUAAUUCCUUUUUUUUUAUUAAUUAAAUACAUGUAGUACAUUGUAAUAAAAAAUAUUUUCACCAAUUUCACUUUCAGUAUUGGAACAUAAUGCUAGAAUAAUCUUUAACUACAUAUUGUAAAUAAAAAUGAUUUAUUUGUAAUAGG
rnacentral:sRNA from 1 species